UACGUAGGUGGCGAGCGUUGUCCGGAUUUACUGGGCGUAAAGAGCGCGCAGGCGGCUGGUCAAGUCCGAUGUGAAAGCUCCCGGCUUAACUGGGAAAUUGCAUCGGAAACUGAUCGGCUGGAAGGUGGGAGAGGGUAGCGGAAUUCCCGGUGUAGUGGUGAAAUGCGUAGAUAUCGGGAGGAACACCAGUGGCGAAGGCGAGUCUCUGGGAUGAUGCUGACGCUGAGGCGCGAAAGCCAGGGGAGCAAACGGG
rnacentral:rRNA from 1 species